rnacentral:lncRNA from 1 species
CUUCAAGGGUAUUGUUAGAUAGUUCUCUUAAUGGAGGACGAACAUCGUUAUUUCUGAAUGGAUCCAUAUACGUCUUUCAGUUAGACACCAAACCUGUGUAGAAAAAUAUUAGUUAUAUUCAGACUUAGACCGGAUAAUAACAAGACACGACAAAAAAACUCCACUCAAUUCGUGCGCUUAGCGUCGAUUAAGGACAACCCGUCACCAUCACUGCCAUGGUGUGACGUCGCCUCCAAACAUUAUCCCCUGUUGUCCUCACCAUGACAUAAGUCGAGGAGAAGAGAUCCCAUGGGUUCUUAAGCCCCUUCCCUCUUCCUUUGUUCCUUCUCACUCCACUGGUUUGAACCUCACCGGCCGAUGGAUGCCGCCAUGGAUGGGAGUUCAUCAGUGUUCUUAGAGGGCACCGUCUUUUAGGUGAGAGUGGUGGGUCACCAAUGAAUUCAGCAGAAAACAUGUGAGGAUGGAUGCCACCAUGGAUGGGAGUUCGUCGGCGUUCUUAGAGGCCACCGUCUUAACCAAAAUACACUCUUUACUUGUGGUAAGUUAUUGACAUCUUGAACAUCGUCAAAUAACACGAAACUAUAUAAAACACGAACUUUAGUUUAAGUUCUUCAUUCAUAUAGGCGUGACAAGUGAACUAUGUACUUACGGAGGAAAUGGUCGAAGGCUUGGAACUGUCCUAUUUUGGUUAAGUCUACCUCAUAACACCAUUGAUCUUGAAGGAUCGAUCAUGGCAUUAUUUCAAAGAUACAAAAAAAUCAUUAAAAAGAUUAAAUGACAUAUAAUCUUGUAGCUAUAAAAUUUUGGCUUCAUGUCGCUCCUUAUAAAAAUGCUAAAAUAAGAUGAACAAUAUAUCGUUGUAUUUUAUUAAUAUGACUGAAUAUAAUGAGAAAUAGGUAAAUAAAUAAAUCACAGAACUUAGCAGCAAACAAAGUCCCUUUAUCAAUUUAAAGGUCUCAGAAUUUAGCAGCAAACAAAUAGGUUUUCCUACAUCAUAAUGAAAUUACAAGAUUUUCUUAUUAAUGAGCAGGUUGCUGAUUUCUUAUGUAAAAUAUAGAUUUGCCAUGUUAAUUUGUUGUGGGAGGUCAAGGAGUAUGUGUUCAAGAUCAUGGGUGGAUGUGACAAGCAAAUGAAGCAAUGAUUCAAAGAUUACAAUUCUGGAUGGUGACGUUGAAGCGGAAGGUAUUGGUAGAGAUCAUUUUCAUGAACAUGAGAUGUUCCACAGUUUACUCAUCUUGGUUGAACGAGCAGGAAUGAAACUCAAAGGAAAGCACUAAAAGGAGCGUCGGAAAAAGAGACCGAACUAUAACAAGUACUCUCACUUAAGGGUGUUUCUCUUUAUGUUGAACUGUAGACCCAGAAAGAAGCAUGAAGAGAAGCGGGUGAGAGAAAAUUUUGGACAGGUGCAAGUACACUGUACAAAAAGCAUACUACCAGCUCAUCCUUUCAACUAUCAUUUUAUCUAAAAAAUUAGCAUCAACCUCUGUAUACCGGAAGCAUGCAUGUAUAUAAACUUUAUACCCCAAUAAAUACCCCAAUACACACAAGUUUGACAUUACAUUACUUAACUUAUGUCCAUAUAUUAAUUUGAAUUUGAAUUUUAAAUUUGUCUUCAACACAAUGCAUGUGCUUAAUUAUCUACCAUUUACUGGUUAAUAUUAAAAAAUAAUGAACAUGCACUAAGCAAAGAUUAUGUCAAAUUACAAUUUUACAAGUUGGUAAUGAAUCAUGACAUAACAAGACAUGUUCAAACUUUGGUAGUAGAACAAGACAUUCAAAUAUUCAAUAAAGACGAAUUAAUAAACCAUAUGAGGACAUCUUCUAGAUAUAUGAGGACAUCUUCUAGAUAUUUCUUAUUAUUUUGUUUUCAUUGUAUGCAUAUAAUACAGCAGCACGUGGAGCUAGGCGUAGGACAGACCUUCUUGACAUUAAAGUGGCAAAAAUAAGCAAAACAAUAAUUUCACAAAUAAAGAGUAUUUCUUGUAUUCUUAAAAGAUGAUGCCUGUCAGAGGCAUGCGUAAAAAACACACCAGGUUAUCAAUAACUUAUAGUGCAAAUUUAUGUUAUGAUGAAUGGUUUGUUUAGAUGAAAGAAGAUACUCUAGUCGCAAAAAAAGCAUUUCUUAUAUAAGAGAUAAAUUAUGGCAGGUAAGCUGUAUAGAAAAAUUAUUGCAAUGGCAAUGGCAAGGUAUAGAAAUAGAUUACCUAUGUGUCCAGCAGUACAGGAAUCUCUGCGUAGCUUGAAUUGGCUAUAACUCUCUUGUGAAAUCCAGAUAUUUUAACAGAGGUAGAUGACUGAACUUGACUCUGAAAAGUGACACUAAACUAACAUCAUGUACUAUCAAUGUAUUUUAUCAGAGCAUUAUAUUUAGUACAAUGUAAAUAAGAUUUCUCAAAAUACUACUGAUCUAAAUGUGUGUACAGAGAUCCAAAAAACAUAAUGCCAACUAAAUAAUAAGACCCACAGAGAACUAUAUGCUAGCAUGCACAUGAACUGCAUUAUCAACCAGAAUAAAAUAUCCACAUAAUUAAUUCGAGGAAAUUUGGAACAAGAAAACAUAAUGGAACCAAUGUAUGUACAGAGAUCCAAAAAAUAGACCAUGCUAGGUUGUUGGAUGUUUGGAGGAACUAAUUUGGAAGUGAUCCAAUUUCUAUCCCAACCCAAACACAGGUUAUGAGCUUACAUAUUGGUUUAUCCUAACCAUGGACAGCUUAGAACAUCUAAGCUUGGAGGACAUAAAUAACAGUUACUUGUGUGCCUGUUAUGCCUUCUCAGUUUAGGAGCUUGGCACCAAAUAGAACUUCAAACUCCCUGCUAAAACCCCACAGUUCAAUCGCCUUAUCAAUAAGUGACUGUAACUUCAUGAUUUGUAUGACAACAGGACUACAUUACUUAUUGCCAAUCAAAUGUAGAAAGUAGAAACAGUACAGGGUUAGCAUAUGACCCAUAUUUGAAUCUAGCUGCAAGCAAUACUUCUACAGGUCGUCCAUCUACAGCAGCUACUGCACCUGGUAAAGGCUUUGGUAUGAAAUUAGGCAAGACACAGAAGACAAAUCAAUUCCUCUAUGGCUCUUUUCCCCCAUGGAAAGACCAUUAUUUUAUAUUAGUAUGUAAUUAGGGUUUACCAUAAAUCAUGCAGUCCAUAGAACUAUAAUGAAAAGAGAUGCAAUAGAUGCUGAACAUUAGAGUUGCAGUGAAAGAAGGUGCUGAUUUCAGUGGUUACCUGAACUCCACUGGACCUGGCAGCACGUUGAGAGGCUUUGCAGUCGUCCUCGCUCUCCGUCACGCGCGUAGUCCUCGUCUUCCUUGGAGUCGUGGUAGGGAUAUCCUGACAAAGAUAGCGCUUACUGAGCAAGACUCACG